CCUACGGGAGGCAGCAGUGAGGAAUAUUGGUCAAUGGGCUUACGCCUGAACCAGCCAAGUCGCGUGAGGGAAGACUGCCCUAUGGGUUGUAAACCUCUUUUUUCAGGGAGUAACGCCGGCUACGUGUAGCCGGACUGAGAGUACCUGAAGAAAAAGCAUCGGCUACCUGCGUGCGAGCAGCCGCGGUACUCCGGAGGAUGCGAGCGUUUUCGGGAGUUAGUGGGUUUAAAGGGUGCGUAGGUGGAAUUCCAGGUCAGCGGUAAAAUCGCGGGGGUCAACCUCGCUCCGCCGUUGAACCUGGCGUUCUUGAGUGGGCGAGAAGGAUGCGGAAUGCGUGGUGUAGCGGUGAAAUGCGUAGAUAUCAAGCAGAACUCCGAUUGCGAAGGCAGCAUACCGGCGCCCAACUGACGCUGAAGCACGAAAGCGUGGGUAUCGAACAGGAUUAGAUACCCGAGUAGUC
rnacentral:rRNA from 1 species